AAGGCAUCGCUGGGUAGCUAUGUGCGGACGGGAUAAGUGCUGAAAGCAUCUAAGCAUGAAGCCCCCCUCAAGAUGAGAUUUCCCAUAGCGUCAAGCUAGUAAGAUCCCUGAAAGAUGAUCAGGUUGAUAGGUCAGAGGUGGAAGCGUGGCGACAUGUGGAGCUGACUGAUACUAAUCGAUCGAGGACUUAACCAAAA
rnacentral:rRNA from 1 species